GCCUGUCUCAUCCACUCUCAACUUCUGUGCACUUUUCAUAGGCCGGCUUGUGGGUGCGUUCGCGCACUUGUAGGUGUCGGGCUUAUGCUUUACUACAAACGAUUCAGUUUUAGAAUGUCAUACUUUGCUAUAACGCAAUUUAUAUACAACUUUCAGCAACGGAUCUCUUGGCUCUCGCAUCGAUGAAGAACGCAGCGAAAUGCGAUAAGUAAUGUGAAUUGCAGAAUUCAGUGAAUCAUCGAAUCUUUGAACGCACCUUGCGCUCCUUGGUAUUCCGAGGAGCAUGCCUGUUUGAGUCUCAUGGAAUUCUCAACCUUCGGCUUUAUUGACGAAGGCUUGGACUUGGAGGUCGUGCCGGCUCUCGUAGUCGGCUCCUCUGAAAUGCAUUAGUGCGAACGUUACCAGCCGCUUCAGCGUGAUAAUUAUCUGCGUUGCUGUGGAGGGUAUUCUAGUGUUCGCGCUUCUAACCGUCUUCGGACAAAUUUCUGAACUCUGAGCUCAAAUCA
rnacentral:rRNA from 1 species